GAAGCAAGACCAAAAGGGGAAAACCCUGGUUUUGAAGGAUUCUCAAGAUUAAGAGGAAAUUGAGAGCUCAAAUCAAUGCUAGAACCCGAAUUGUCAACCAUCUAAGCUCGAGCAACAAUAGGCGUGAAGGAAGAAAGCUCUAACACUAGUCAAGCGGGAGGUGUACAAGAUCGAGGUAAAGCACCUCUAUAGGCGAUAUGGAGAUAUGGAACGAGCACAUGUUCAAGCCUUAUAAUACCAAGCGCUUCCGCAACUUAUAUGCAUGUUUUUGGGUUUGA
rnacentral:lncRNA from 1 species